UGGUGGCGUGAUUUGUCUGGUUAAUUCCGUUAACGAACGAGACCUCGACCUGCUAAUUAUGUGCCGAGCGACCUUACGGUACUCUGGUAACUUCUUAGAGGGACUACUGGUGCCAGCCAGUGGAAGUUCGAGGCAAUAACA
rnacentral:rRNA from 1 species